GUCUUAACCGGGCGUUAAGUUGCAGGGUAUAGACCCGAAACCCGGUGAUCUAGCCAUGGGCAGGUUGAAGGUUGGGUAACACUAACUGGAGGACCGAACCGACUAAUGUUGAAAAAUUAGCGGAUGACCUGUGGCUGGGGGUGAAAGGCCAAUCAAACCGGGAGAUAGCUGGUUCUCCCCGAAAGCUAUUUAGGUAGCGCCUCGUGAAUUCAUCUCCGGGGGUAGAGCACUGUUUCGGCUAGGGGGCCAUCCCGGCUUACCAACCCGAUGCAAACUGCGAAUACCGGAGAAUGUUAUCACGGGAGACACACGGCGGGUGCUAACGUCCGUCGUGAAGAGGGAAACAACCCAGACCGCCAGCUAAGGUCCCAAAGUCAUGGUUAAGUGGGAAACGAUGUGGGAAGGCCCAGACAGCCAGGAUGUUGGCUUAGAAGCAGCCAUCAUUUAAAGAAAGCGUAAUAGCUCACUGGUCGAGUCGGCCUGCGCGGAAGAUGUAACGGGGCUAAACCAUGCACCGAAGCUGCGGCAGCGACACUGUGUGUUGUUGGGUAGGGGAGCGUUCUGUAAGCCUGUGAAGGUGUGUCGUGAGGCAUGCUGGAGGUAUCAGAAGUGCGAAUGCUGACAUAAGUAACGAUAAAGCGGGUGAAAAGCCCGCUCGCCGGAAGACCAAGGGUUCCUGUCCAACGUUAAUCGGGGCAGGGUGAGUCGACCCCUAAGGCGAGGCCGAAAGGCGUAGUCGAUGGGAAACGGGUUAAUAUUCCCGUACUUGGUGUUACUGCGAAGGGGGGACGGAGAAGGCUAUGUUGGCCGGGCGACGGUUGUCCCGGUUUAAGUGUGUAGGUGUGUGUUCCAGGUAAAUCCGGUUCACUUUAACACUGAGGCGUGACGACGAGGCACUACGGUGCUGAAGCAACAAAUGCCCUGCUUCCAGGAAAAGCCUCUAAGCAUCAGGUAACAUCAAAUCGUACCCCAAACCGACACAGGUGGUCAGGUAGAGAAUACCAAGGCGCUUGAGAGAACUCGGGUGAAGGAACUAGGCAAAAUGGUGCCGUAACUUCGGGAGAAGGCACGCUGACACGUAGGUGAAGUGAUUUACUCAUGGAGCUGAAGUCAGUCGAAGAUACCAGCUGGCUGCAACUGUUUAUUAAAAACACAGCACUGUGCAAACACGAAAGUGGACGUAUACGGUGUGACGCCUGCCCGGUGCCGGAAGGUUAAUUGAUGGGGUCAGCGCAAGCGAAGCUCCUGAUCGAAGCCCCGGUAAACGGCGGCCGUAACUAUAACGGUCCUAAGGUAGCGAAAUUCCUUGUCGGGUAAGUUCCGACCUGCACGAAUGGCGUAAUGAUGGCCAGGCUGUCUCCACCCGAGACUCAGUGAAAUUGAACUCGCUGUGAAGAUGCAGUGUACCCGCGGCAAGACGGAAAGACCCCGUGAACCUUUACUAUAGCUUGACACUGAACAUUGAGCCUUGAUGUGUAGGAUAGGUGGGAGGCUUUGAAGUGUGGACGCCAGUCUGCAUGGAGCCGACCUUGAAAUACCACCCUUUAAUGUUUGAUGUUCUAACGUGGACCCGUUACCCGGGUUGCGGACAGUGUCUGGUGGGUAGUUUGACUGGGGCGGUCUCCUCCUAAAGAGUAACGGAGGAGCACGAAGGUUGGCUAAUCCUGGUCGGACAUCAGGAGGUUAGUGCAAUGGCAUAAGCCAGCUUGACUGCGAGCGUGACGGCGCGAGCAGGUGCGAAAGCAGGUCAUAGUGAUCCGGUGGUUCUGAAUGGAAGGGCCAUCGCUCAACGGAUAAAAGGUACUCCGGGGAUAACAGGCUGAUACCGCCCAAGAGUUCAUAUCGACGGCGGUGUUUGGCACCUCGAUGUCGGCUCAUCACAUCCUGGGGCUGAAGUAGGUCCCAAGGGUAUGGCUGUUCGCCAUUUAAAGUGGUACGCGAGCUGGGUUUAGAACGUCGUGAGACAGUUCGGUCCCUAUCUGCCGUGGGCGCUGGAGAACUGAGGGGGGCUGCUCCUAGUACGAGAGGACCGGAGUGGACGCAUCACUGGUGUUCGGGUUGUCAUGCCAAUGGCACUGCCCGGUAGCUAAAUGCGGAAGAGAUAAGUGCUGAAAGCAUCUAAGCACGAAACUUGCCCCGA
rnacentral:rRNA from 1 species